rnacentral:rRNA from 1 species
UAGAGCUAAUACAUGCAACCAAGCUCCGACCUUCGUGGGAAGAGCGCUCUUAUUAGACCGAGGCCAACCUGCUGGGCAACUGGCAGUUUGCUGUGGUGACUCUGAAUAAGCACAGUUGAUCGCACGACUCUACGUCGGCGACGUAUCUUUCAAGCGUAUGCCCUAUCAGCUGUCGACGGUAGGGUAGUGGCCUACCGUGGCAUCAACGGGUAACGGGGGAUCAGGGUCCGAUCCCGGAGAGUAAGCCUGAGAGACGGCUUACACAUCUAAGGAAGGCAGCAGGCGCGCAAAUUACCCAAUGGGGACACCCUGAGGUAGUGACAAGAAAUAACAAUACGCGACUCUUUCGAGGCCGCGUAAUUGGAAUGAGCACAGUCUAAAUCCUUUAGCGAGGAUCAAUUGGAGGGCAAGUCUGGUGCCAGCAGCCGCGGUAAUUCCAGCUCCAAUAGCGUAUAUUAAAGUUGCUGCAGUUAAAAAGCUCGUAGUUGACAAUCGGUGCUYGUCUYGGCGGUCCUGUUCACGCAGGCACUGCCUUGAUGGCCUCUACACACUGGCUUGAGGUCGGGCAGGCUGGGCAACUGGCGGUUCGACCAAAGCCCCGGGUGCCCUUUAUUGGGUGCCCGUGGGUGGCCUUUGCGUUUACUUUGAAGAAAUUAGAGUGUUCAAAGCGGGCUAUCUAUAGCUCGGAUACUCGUACAUGGAAUAAUGGAAUAGGACCCUGGGUCAUUUCCGUUGGUCUAUGGCCAUUGGGUAAUGAUUAAAAGGGACUGCCGGGGGCAUUGGUAUGGUGGGGGGGAAAGAGGUGAAAUUCCGUGAUCCUCGCCAGACCAACUACAGCGAAAGCAUUUGCCAAGAAUGUCUUCAUUAAUCAAGAACGAAAGUCAGAGGUUCGAAGACGAUCAGAUACCGUCGUAGUUCUGACCAUAAACGAUGCCAGCUUGGAAGUGGCGAUGGUUGUAUUUCAUGACCCCGCCACGGCCCGUCGGGAAACCAUAAGCGUUUGGGUUCCGGGGGAAGUAUGGUUGCAAAGCUGAAACUUAAAGGAAUUGACGGAAGGGCACCACCAGGAGUGGAGCCUGCGGCUUAAUUUGACUCAACACGGGAAAACUCACCCGGCCCGGACACUGCAAGGAUUGACAGAUUGAGAGCUCUUUCUCGAUUCGGUGGAUGGUGGUGCAUGGCCGUUCUUAGUUGGUGGAGUGAUUUGUCUGGUUAAUUCCGAUAACGAACGAGACUCUAGCCUACUAACUAGUUCGCCGAUCUGCUUCUGUGGGUCGGUAAUAAACUUCUUAGAGGGACAAGUGGCGCUUAGCCACGCGAGAUGGAGCAAUAACAGGUCUGUGAUGCCCUUAGAUGUCCGGGGCCGCACGCGCGCUACACUGAAAGAAUCAACGU